UAACCAUGGUGUGGGCAGGCGAGAAGUGAGUCCUUGAAAUGUUCCCAACAUUAAAAAAAGCUCUCAAUUUUAUUUUGGGAGAAGUUCAUUAUUUCCAGUCUAAGAGC